rnacentral:rRNA from 1 species
AGCCCAGAGCCUGAAUCAGUGUGUGUGUUAGUGGAAGCGUCUGGAAAGGCGCGCGAUACAGGGUGACAGCCCCGUACACAAAAAUGCACAUACUGUGAGCUCGAUGAGUAGGGCGGGACACGUGGUAUCCUGUCUGAAUAUGGGGGGACCAUCCUCCAAGGCUAAAUACUCCUGACUGACCGAUAGUGAACCAGUACCGUGAGGGAAAGGCGAAAAGAACCCCGGCGAGGGGAGUGAAAAAGAACCUGAAACCGUGUACGUACAAGCAGUGGGAGCCUCUUAAUGGGGUGACUGCGUACCUUUUGUAUAAUGGGUCAGCGACUUAUAUUCUGUAGCAAGGUUAACCGAAUAGGGGAGCCGAAGGGAAACCGAGUCUUAACUGGGCGUUAAGUUGCAGGGUAUAGACCCGAAACCCGGUGAUCUAGCCAUGGGCAGGUUGAAGGUUGGGUAACACUAACUGGAGGACCGAACCGACUAAUGUUGAAAAAUUAGCGGAUGACUUGUGGCUGGGGGUGAAAGGCCAAUCAAACCGGGAGAUAGCUGGUUCUCCCCGAAAGCUAUUUAGGUAGCGCCUCGUGAAUUCAUCUCCGGGGGUAGAGCACUGUUUCGGCAAGGGGGUCAUCCCGACUUACCAACCCGAUGCAAACUGCGAAUACCGGAGAAUGUUAUCACGGGAGACACACGGCGGGUGCUAACGUCCGUCGUGAAGAGGGAAACAACCCAGACCGCCAGCUAAGGUCCCAAAGUCAUGGUUAAGUGGGAAACGAUGUGGGAAGGCCCAGACAGCCAGGAUGUUGGCUUAGAAGCAGCCAUCAUUUAAAGAAAGCGUAAUAGCUCACUGGUCGAGUCGGCCUGCGCGGAAGAUGUAACGGGGCUAAACCAUGCACCGAAGCUGCGGCAGCGACACUAUGUGUUGUUGGGUAGGGGAGCGUUCUGUAAGCCUGUGAAGGUGUACUGUGAGGUAUGCUGGAGGUAUCAGAAGUGCGAAUGCUGACAUAAGUAACGAUAAAGCGGGUGAAAAGCCCGCUCGCCGGAAGACCAAGGGUUCCUGUCCAACGUUAAUCGGGGCAGGGUGAGUCGACCCCUAAGGCGAGGCCGAAAGGCGUAGUCGAUGGGAAACAGGUUAAUAUUCCUGUACUUGGUGUUACUGCGAAGGGGGGACGGAGAAGGCUAUGUUGGCCGGGCGACGGUUGUCCCGGUUUAAGCGUGUAGGCUGGUUUUCCAGGCAAAUCCGGAAAAUCAAGGCUGAGGCGUGAUGACGAGGCACUACGGUGCUGAAGCAACAAAUGCCCUGCUUCCAGGAAAAGCCUCUAAGCAUCAGGUAACAUCAAAUCGUACCCCAAACCGACACAGGUGGUCAGGUAGAGAAUACCAAGGCGCUUGAGAGAACUCGGGUGAAGGAACUAGGCAAAAUGGUGCCGUAACUUCGGGAGAAGGCACGCUGAUAUGUAGGUGAAGUCCCUUGCGGAUGGAGCUGAAAUCAGUCGAAGAUACCAGCUGGCUGCAACUGUUUAUUAAAAACACAGCACUGUGCAAACACGAAAGUGGACGUAUACGGUGUGACGCCUGCCCGGUGCCGGAAGGUUAAUUGAUGGGGUUAGCGGUAACGCGAAGCUCUUGAUCGAAGCCCCGGUAAACGGCGGCCGUAACUAUAACGGUCCUAAGGUAGCGAAAUUCCUUGUCGGGUAAGUUCCGACCUGCACGAAUGGCGUAAUGAUGGCCAGGCUGUCUCCACCCGAGACUCAGUGAAAUUGAACUCGCUGUGAAGAUGCAGUGUACCCGCGGCAAGACGGAAAGACCCCGUGAACCUUUACUAUAGCUUGACACUGAACAUUGAGCCUUGAUGUGUAGGAUAGGUGGGAGGCUUUGAAGUGUGGACGCCAGUCUGCAUGGAGCCGGCCUUGAAAUACCACCCUUUAAUGUUUGAUGUUCUAACGUUGGCCCCUGAUCGGGGUUGCGGACAGUGUCUGGUGGGUAGUUUGACUGGGGCGGUCUCCUCCUAAAGAGUAACGGAGGAGCACGAAGGUUGGCUAAUCCUGGUCGGACAUCAGGAGGUUAGUGCAAUGGCAUAAGCCAGCUUGACUGCGAGCGUGACGGCGCGAGCAGGUGCGAAAGCAGGUCAUAGUGAUCCGGUGGUUCUGAAUGGAAGGGCCAUCGCUCAACGGAUAAAAGGUACUCCGGGGAUAACAGGCUGAUACCGCCCAAGAGUUCAUAUCGACGGCGGUGUUUGGCACCUCGAUGUCGGCUCAUCACAUCCUGGGGCUGAAGUAGGUCCCAAGGGUAUGGCUGUUCGCCAUUUAAAGUGGUACGCGAGCUGGGUUUAGAACGUCGUGAGACAGUUCGGUCCCUAUCUGCCGUGGGCGCUGGAGAACUGAGGGGGGCUGCUCCUAGUACGAGAGGACCGGAGUGGACGCAUCACUGGUGUUCGGGUUGUCAUGCCAAUGGCACUGCCCGGUAGCUAAAUGCGGAAGAGAUAAGUGCUGAAAGCAUCUAAGCACGAAACUUGCCCCGAGAUGAGUUCUCCCUGACUCCUUGAGAGUCCUGAAGGAACGUUGAAGACGACGACGUUGAUAGGCCGGGUGUGUAAGCGCAGCGAUGCGUUGAGCUAACCGGUACUAAUGAACCGUGAGGCUUAACCUUACAACGCCGAAG